GAGUUUUAUUUGCCCUGCUCUGCUGCACUCUUCCCACAGAUACACCCAUAUUUGGGUGAAAAGUCAGCAGGACGGAGAGGGAAAAAAGCAACAGGAGUCCAUCCCAUUCUCUUGAGACAACAGGUUCACUGAUCACAGAGAAAAUUUCUUUUCCCUCAGAGUUUAGGCACCUUCAGGUCUGUGCUGUCACCAAUAUCCUUACUGCUACUGCCAUGGAGCAGGGAUUCAAGAUAACCAAAGGAAGACAAAGGGACAAAAUGGCAGCAGCCAGCCUGACCAUUCCCUUCCCAUCAUGAGGGAGAGGGCUGUGGUAUGGACAGCAGCAGCUGACUGGCCACAGGUGCAGCCACUGCCAUCCAGCCCCGACUCAUUCCUAGAAUAAGAACCACCAGACUGCCCUCUGACACCUGCCUCAGCGGUCCCCACCACUCCUCAAACCCUGUCACCGUCCACAGACAAGCCCUGGAGGGGUGGGGAAAAGGUUUCAUUGUGAGAAACCACUGGGGAUCCUGAAGUUAAAACUCAUCAAAGUGUGGGGAAAACUAAGACUGGCCUAGCAGGAUUUUUACUCUCAAGCUAAUCUACACUCAACCUCAAAGAAUUUAUUAAAAUUCACAUUUAACCAUCUUAUCAGUAUACAUCUUCAAGAGCUUUCGUUUCUGGUACAAAAGUUUCAGCUGCAGUUACUUGUAUUCAUCUGUCUCUUCAGAUUUCGAGGUGGUGGUCUGUCUUGUGAGCUCAAGUCUCUGGUGAUUCUAAUAAAUGUCAUUGAUUUUUUAAGUCUUCUCAGAUUUAUUUCUUGUUUUUAGGAUGGGAGUGGUGACUUCCAAGCUUUUUACAUGUGAAAG
rnacentral:lncRNA from 1 species